rnacentral:rRNA from 1 species
GACGAACUUUGGCGGCGUGCUUAACACAUGCAAGUCGAACGGAAAGGCCCUGCUUUUGUGGGGUGCUCGAGUGGCGAACGGGUGAGUAACACGUGAGUAACCUGCCCUUGACUUUGGGAUAACUUCAGGAAACUGGGGCUAAUACCGGAUAGGAGCUCCUGCUGCAUGGUGGGGGUUGGAAAGUUUCGGCGGUUGGGGAUGGACUCGCGGCUUAUCAGCUUGUUGGUGGGGUAGUGGCUUACCAAGGCUUUGACGGGUAGCCGGCCUGAGAGGGUGACCGGCCACAUUGGGACUGAGAUACGGCCCAGACUCCUACGGGAGGCAGCAGUGGGGAAUAUUGCACAAUGGGCGGAAGCCUGAUGCAGCAACGCCGCGUGCGGGAUGACGGCCUUCGGGUUGUAAACCGCUUUCGCCUGUGACGAAGCGUGAGUGACGGUAAUGGGUAAAGAAGCACCGGCUAACUACGUGCCAGCAGCCGCGGUGAUACGUAGGGUGCGAGCGUUGUCCGGAUUUAUUGGGCGUAAAGGGCUCGUAGGUGGUUGAUCGCGUCGGAAGUGUAAUCUUGGGGCUUAACCCUGAGCGUGCUUUCGAUACGGGUUGACUUGAGGAAGGUAGGGGAGAAUGGAAUUCCUGGUGGAGCGGUGGAAUGCGCAGAUAUCAGGAGGAACACCAGUGGCGAAGGCGGUUCUCUGGGCCUUUCCUGACGCUGAGGAGCGAAAGCGUGGGGAGCGAACAGGCUUAGAUACCCUGGUAGUCCACGCUGUAAACGGUGGGUACUAGGUGUGGGGUCCAUUCCACGGGUUCCGUGCCGUAGCUAACGCUUUAAGUACCCCGCCUGGGGAGUACGGCCGCAAGGCUAAAACUCAAAGGAAUUGACGGGGCCCCGCACAAGCGGCGGAGCAUGCGGAUUAAUUCGAUGCAACGCGUAGAACCUUACCUGGGUUUGACAUGGAUCGGGAGUGCUCAGAGAUGGGUGUGCCUCUUUUGGGGUCGGUUCACAGGUGGUGCAUGCCUGUCGUCAGCUCGUGUCGUGAGAUGUUGGGUUAAGUCCCGCAACGAGCGCAACCCUUGUUCACUGUUGCCAGCACGUUAUGGUGGGGACUCAGUGGAGACCGCCGGGGUCAACUCGGAGGAAGGUGGGGAUGACGUCAAGUCAUCAUGCCCCUUAUGUCCAGGGCUUCACGCAUGCUACAAUGGCUGGUACAGAGAGUGGCGAGCCUGUGAGGGUGAGCGAAUCUCGGAAAGCCGGUCUCAGUUCGGAUUGGGGUCUGCAACUCGACCUCAUGAAGUCGGAGUCGCUAGUAAUCGCAGAACAGCAACGCUGCGGUGAAUNCGUUCCCGGGGC